AGUGAACGCUGGCGGUAGGCCUAACACAUGCAAGUCGAACGGCAGCACAGUAAGAGCUUGCUCUUACGGGUGGCGAGUGGCGGACGGGUGAGGAAUACAUCGGAAUCUACUUUUUCGUGGGGGAUAACGUAGGGAAACUUACGCUAAUACCAUACGACCUACGGGUGAAAGCAGGGGAUCUUCGGACCUUGCGCGAUUGAAUGAGCCGAUGUCGGAUUAGCUAGUUGGCGGGGUAAAGGCCCACCAAGGCGACGAUCCGUAGCUGGUCUGAGAGGAUGAUCAGCCACACUGGAACUGAGACACGGUCCAGACUCCUACGGGAGGCAGCAGUGGGGAAUAUUGGACAAUGGGCGCAAGCCUGAUCCAGCCAUACCGCGUGGGUGAAGAAGGCCUUCGGGUUGUAAAGCCCUUUUGUUGGGAAAGAAAAGCAGCAGGUUAAUACCCCGCUGUUCUGACGGUACCCAAAGAAUAAGCACCGGCUAACUUCGUG
rnacentral:rRNA from 1 species